AGAGUUUGAUCAUGGCUCAGGAUGAACGCUGGCGGUAUGCCUAACACAUGCAAGUCGAACGAUGUCUUCGGACAUAGUGGCGGACGGGUGAGUAACGCGUGAGAAUCUGCCUCUAGGAUGGGGAUAACGGUUGGAAACGACCGCUAACACCCAAUAUGCCGUAAGGUGAAAAAUUUAUUGCCUGGAGAGGAGCUCGCGUCUGAUUAGCUAGUUGGUGGGGUAAGAGCUCACCAAGGCUUCGAUCAGUAGCUGGUCUGAGAGGAUGAGCAGCCACACUGGGACUGAGACACGGCCCAGACCCCUACGGGAGGCAGCAGUGGGGAAUUUUCCGCAAUGGGCGAAAGCCUGACGGAGCAAUACCGCGUGAGGGAGGAAUGCCUUUGGGUUGUAAACCUCUUUUCUCAGGGAAGAAGAUCUGACGGUACCUGAGGAAUAAGUAUCGGCUAACUCCGUGCCAGCAGCCGCGGUAAUACGGAGGAUGCAAGCGUUAUCCGGAAUCAUUGGGCGUAAAGCGUCCGCAGGUGGUUUCCAAAGUCUGCUGUUAAAGACUGGAGCUCAACUCCGGAACGGCGGUGGAAACUUGGAAACUAGAGUUCGGUAGGGGUAGCAGGAAUUCCCAGUGUAGCGGUGAAAUGCGUAGAUAUUGGGAAGAACAUCGGUGGCGAAGGCGUGCUACUGGACCGUAACUGACACUCAGGGACGAAAGCUAGGGGAGCGAAAGGGAUUAGAUACCCCUGUAGUCCUAGCUGUAAACGAUGGAAACUAGGUGUGG
rnacentral:rRNA from 1 species